UACGUAGGGUGCAAGCGUUUGUCCGGAAUUAUUGGGCGUAAAGAGCUCGUAGGCGGCCUGUCGCGUCGGCUGUGAAAACCCGAGGCUCAACCUCGGGCCUGCAGUCGAUACGGGCAGGCUAGAGUUCGGUAGGGGAGACUGGAAUUCCUGGUGUAGCGGUGAAAUGCGCAGAUAUCAGGAGGAACACCGGUGGCGAAGGCGGGUCUCUGGGCCGAAACUGACGCUGAGGAGCGAAAGCGUGGGGGAGCGAACAGG
rnacentral:rRNA from 1 species